rnacentral:rRNA from 1 species
UACGUAGGGUGCAAGCGUUAAUCGGAAUUACUGGGCGUAAAGCGUGCGCAGGCGGUUUUGUAAGUUCUGUCGUGAAAUCCCCCGGGCUCAACCUGGGAAUUGCGAUGGAGACUGCAAGGCUAGAAUCUGGCAGAGGGGGGUAGAAUUCCACGUGUGAGCAGUGAAAUGCGUAGAGAUGUGGAGGAACACCGAUGGCGAAGGCAGCCCCCUGGGUCAAGAU